GGACUACUGGGGUAUCUAAUCCUGUUUGCUCCCCACGCUUUCGCGUCUCAGCGUCAGCAACGAUCCAGAGGGCCGCCUUCGCCGCCGGUGUUCCUCCUGAUAUCUACGCAUUUCACCGCUACACCAGGAAUUCCACCCUCCUCUAUCGCGCUCAAGUCGGCUAGUUUCCGAUGCACUUCCGGGGCUGAGCCCCGGGCUUUCACACCGGACUGGACCGACCGCCUACACGCCCUUUACGCCCAGUCAAUCCGAACAACGCUUGCACCCUCCGUCUUACCGCGGCUGCUGGCAC
rnacentral:rRNA from 1 species